AAGACCCCCCAGCGGUAAAAUGGCCAAGAAACGAGUGGGCUAUAGCCUUGGUGGGGGGCGUGGGCGAAGUUCGUCCGCGGGACUCGGAAUGGCACCAUACUUGGCGGGCGGCCUCCGUGUGCCAAAAAUAGGCCACGGGCACAGCCGCGCCCAAAAAUCAGCCCCCGAAGGUCGGGGUCCCAAGACCCCCCAGCGGAAAAAUGGCCAAGAAACGGGUGGGCUAUAGCCUUGGUGGGGGGCGUGGGCGAAGUUCGUCCGCGGGACUCGGAAUGGCCCCAGACUUGGCGGGCGGCCUCCGUGUGCCAAAAAUAGGCCACGGGCACAGCCGCGCCCAAAAAUCAGCCCCCGAAGGUCGGGGUCCCAAGACCCCCCAGCGGAAAAAUGGCCAAGAAACGGGUGGGCUAUAGCCUUGGUGGGGGGCGUGGGCGAAGUUCGUCCGUGGGACUCGGAAUGGCCCCAGACUUGGCGGGCGGCCUCCGUGUGCCAAAAAUAGGCCACAGGCACAGCCGCGCCCAAAAAUCAGCCCCCGAAGGUCGGGGUCACAAGACCCCCCAGCGGAAAAAAGGCCAAGAAACGCGUGGGCUAUAGCCUUGGUGGGGGGCGUGGGCGAAGUUCGUCCGCGGGACUCGGAAUGGCCCCAGACUUGGCGGGCGGCCUCCGUGUGCCAAAAAUAGGCCACGGGCAAAGCCGCGCCCAAAAAUCAGCCCCCGAAGGUCGAGGUCACAAGACCCCCCAGCGGAAAAAAGGCCAAGAAACGCGUGAGCUAUAGCCUUGGUGGGGGGCGUGGGCGAAGUUCGUCCGCGGGACUCGGAAUGGCACCAUACUUGGCGGGCGGCCUCCGUGUGCCAAAAAUAGGCCACAGGCACAGCCGCGCCCAAAAAUCAGCCCCCGAAGGUCGGGGUCCCAAGACCCCCCAGCGGAAAAAUGGCCAAAAAACGGGUGGGCUAUAGCCUUGGUGGGGGGCGUGGGCGAAGUUCGUCCGCGGGACUCGGAAUGGCCCCAGACUUGGCGGGCGGCCUCCGUGUGCCAAAAAUAGGCCACGGGCACAGCCGCGCCCAAAAAUCAGCCCCCGAAGGUCGGGGUCCCAAGACCCCCCAGCGGAAAAAUGGCCAAGAAACGGGUGGGCUAUAGCCUUGGUGGGGAGCGUGGGCGAAGUUCGUCCGCGGGACUCGGAAUGGCCCCAGACUUGGCGGGCGGCCUCCGUGUGCCAAAAAUAGGCCACGGGCACAGCCGCGCCGAAAAAUCAGCCCCCGAAGGUCGGGGUCACAAGACCCCCCAGCGGAAAAAAGGCCAAGAAACGCGUGGGCUAUAGCCUUGGUGGGGGGCGUGGGCGAAGUUCGUCCGCGGGACUCGGAAUGGCCCCAGACUUGGCGGGCGGCCUCCGUGUGCCAAAAAUAGGCCACGGGCACAGCCGCGCCCAAAAAUCAGCCCCCGAAGGUCGGGGUCCCAAGACCCCCCAGCGGAAAAAAGGCCAAGAAACGGGUGGGCUAUAGCCUGGUGGGGGGCGGGGCGAAGUCCUUCCGCGGGACUCGGAAUGGCACCAUACUUGGCGGGCGGCCUCCGUGUGCCAAAAAUAGACCACGGGCACAGCCGCGCCCAAAAAUCAGCCCCCGAAAGUCGGGGUCACAACACCCCCCAGCGGAAAAAUGGCCAAAAAACGGGUGGGCUAUAGCCUUGGUGGGGGGCGUGGGCGAAGUUCGUCCGCGGGACUCGGAAUGGCACCAGACUUGGCGGGCGGCCUCCGUGUGCCAAAAAUAGGCCACGGGCACAGCCGCGCCCAAAAAUCAGCCCCCGAAGGUCGGGAUUCCAAGACCCCCCAGCGGAAAAAAGGCCAAAAAACGCGUGGGCUAUAGCCUUGGCGGGGGGCGUGGGCGAAGUUCGUCCGCGGGACUCGGAAUGGCACCAUACUUGGCGGGCGGCCUCCGUGUGCGAAAAAUAGGCCACGGGCACAGCCGCGCCCAAAAAUCAGCCCCCGAAGGUCGGGGUCACAGCACCCCCCAGCGGAAAAAUGGCCAAAAAACGGGUGGGCUAUAGCCUUGGUGGGGGGCGUGGGCGAAGUUCGUCUGCGGGACUCGGAAUGGCCCCAGACUUGGCGGGCGGCCUCCGUGUACCAAAAAUAGGCCACGGGCACAGCCGCGCCCAAAAAUCAGCCCCCGAAGGUCGGGGUCACAGCACCCCCCAGCGGAAAAAUGGCCAAAAAACGGGUGGGCUAUAGCCUUGGUGGGGGGCGUGGGCGAAGUUCGUCCGCGGGACUCGGAAUGGCACCAUACUUGGCGGGCGGCCUCCGUGUGCCAAAAAUAGGCCACGGGCACAGCCGCGCCCAAAAAUCAGCCCCCGAAGGUCGGGGUCACAAGACCCCCCAGCGGAAAAAUGGCCAAAAACCGGGUGGGCUAUAGCCUUGGUGGGGGGCGUGGGCGAAGUUCGUCCGCGGGACUCGGAAUGGCCCCAGACUUGGCGGGCGGCCUCCGUGUGCCAAAAAUAGGCCACGGGCACAGCCGCGCCCAAAAAUCAGCCCCCGAAGGUCGUGGUCCCAAGACCCCCCAGCGGAAAAAUGGCCAAGAAACGGGUGGGCUAUAGCCUUGGUGGGGGGCGUGGGCGAAGUUCGUCCGCGGGACUCGGAAUGGCCCCAGACUUGGCGGGCGGCCUCCGUGUGCCAAAAAUAGGCCACGGGCACAGCCGCGCCCAAAAAUCAGCCCCCGAAGGUCGGGGUCACAAGACCCCCCAGCGGAAAAAAGGCCAAGAAACGCGUGGGCUAUAGCCUUGGUGGGGGGCGUGGGCGAAGUUCGUCCGCGGGACUCGGAAUGGCCCCAGACUUGGCGGGCGGCCUCCGUGUGCCAAAAAUAGGCCACGGGCACAGCCGCGCCCAAAAAUCAGCCCCCGAAGGUCGGGGUCACAAGACCCCCCAGCGGAAAAAAGGCCAAGAAACGCGUGGGCUAUAGCCUUGGUGGGGGGCGUGGGCGAAGUUCGUCCGCGGGACUCGGAAUGGCACCAUACUUGGCGGGCGGCCUCCGUGUGCCAAAAAUAGGCCACGGGCACAGCCGCGCCCAAAAAUCAGCCCCCGAAGGUCGGGGUCCCAAGACCCCCCAGCGGAAAAAUGGCCAAAAAACGGGUGGGCUAUAGCCUUGGUGGGGGGCGUGGGCGAAGUUCGUCCGCGGGACUCGGAAUGGCACCAUACUUGGCGGGCGGCCUCCGUGUGCCAAAAAUAGGCCACGGGCACAGCCGCGCCCAAAAAUCAGCCCCCGAAGGUCGGGGUCCCAAGACCCCCCAGCGGAAAAAUGGCCAAAAAACGGGUGGGCUAUAGCCUUGGUGGGGGGCGUGGGCGAAGUUCGUCCGCGGGACUCGGAAUGGCCCCAGACUUGGCGGGCGGCCUCCGUGUGCCAAAAAUAGGCCACGGGCACAGCCGCGCCCAAAAAUCAGCCCCCGAAGGUCGGGGUCACAGCACCCCCCAGCGGAAAAAUGGCCAAAAAACGGGUGGGCUAUAGCCUUGGUGGGGGGCGUGGGCGAAGUUCGUCCGCGGGACUCGGAAUGGCACCAGACUUGGCGGGCGGCCUCCGUGUGCCAAAAAUAGGCCACGGGCACAGCCGCGCCCAAAAAUCAGCCCCCGAAGGUCGGGAUCCCAAGACCCCCCAGCGGAAAAAAGGCCAAAAAACGCGUGGGCUAUAGCCUUGGUGGGGGGCGUGGGCGAAGUUCGUCCGCGGGACUCGGAAUGGCACCAUACUUGGCGGGCGGCCUCCGUGUGCGAAAAAUAGGCCACGGGCACAGCCGCGCCCAAAAAUCAGCCCCCGAAGGUCGAGGUCCCAAGACCCCCCAGCGGAAAAAAGGCCAAAAAACGCGUGGGCGAUAGCCUUGGUGGGGGGCGUGGGCGAAGUUCGUCCGCGGGACUCGGAAUGCCCCCAUACUUGGCGGGCGGCCUCCGUGUGCCAAAAAUAGGCCACGGGCACAGCCACGCCCAAAAAUCAGCCCCCGAAGGUCGGGGUCACAAGACCCCCCAGCGGAAAAAUGGCCAAAAAACGGGUGGGCUAUAGCCUUGGUGGGGGGCGUGGGCGAAGUUCGUCCGCUGGACUCGGAAUGGCCCCAGACUUUGCGGGCGGCCUCCGUGUGCCAAAAAUAGGCCACGGGCACAGCCGCGCCCAAAAAUCAGCCCCCGAAGGUCGGGGUCCCAAGACCCCCCAGCGGAAAAAUGGCCAAAAAACGGGUGGGCUAUUGCCCUGGUGGGGGGCGUGGGCGAAGUUCGUCCGCGGGACUCGGAAUGGCACCAUACUUGGCGGGCGGCCUCUGUGUGCCAAAAAUAGGCCACGGGCACCGCCGCGCCCAAAAAUCAGCCCCCGAAGGUCGGGGUCCCAAGACCCCCCAGCGGAAAAAUGGCCAAAAAACGGGUGGGCUAUAGCCUUGGUGGGGGGCGUGGGCGAAGUUCGUCCGCGGGACUCGGAAUGGCACCAUACUUGGCGGGCGGCCUCUGUGUGCCAAAAAUAGGCCACGGGCACAGCCGCGCACAAAAAUCAGCCCCCGAAGGUCGGGGUCCCAAGACCCCCCAGCAGAAAAAUGGCCAAAAAACGGGUGGGCUAUAGCCUUGGUGGGGGGCGUGGGCGAACUUCGUCCGCGGGACUCGGAAUGGCCCCUGACUUGGCGGGCGGCCUCCGUGUGCCAAAAAUAGGCCACGGGCACAGCCGCGCCCAAAAAUCAGCCCCCGAAGGUCGGGGUCCCAAGACCCCCCAGCGGAAAAAUGGCCAAAAAACGGGUGGGCUAUAGCCUUGGUGGGGGGUGUGGACGAACUUCGUCCGCGGGACUCGGAAUGGCCCCUGACUUGGCGGGCGGCCUCCGUGUGCCAAAAAUAGGCCACGGGCACAGCCGUGCCCAAAAAUCAGCCCCCGAAGGUCGGGGUCCCAAGACCCACCAGCGGAAAAAUGCCAAAAAACGGGUGGGGCUAUAGCCUUGGUGGGCGGCGUGGGCGAAGUUCGUCCGCGGGACUCGGAAUGGCACCAGUCUCGGCGGGCGGCCUCUGUGUGCCAAAAAUAGGCCACGGGCACAGCCGCGCCCAAAAAUCAGCCCCCGAAGGUCGGGGUCCCAUGACCCCCCAGCGGAAAAAUGGCCAAAAAACGGGUGGGCUAUAGCCUUGGUGGUGGGCGUGGGCGAAGUUCGUCCGCGGGACUCGGAAUGGCACCAUACUUGGCGGGCGGCCUCUGUGUGCCAAAAAUAGGCCACGGGCACAGCCGCGCCCAAAAAUCAGCCCCCGAAGGUCGGGGUCCCAAGACCCCCCAGCGGAAAAAUGGCCAAAAAACGGGUGGGCUAUAGCCUUGGUGGGGGGCGUGCGCGAACUUCGUCCGCGGGACUCGGAAUGGCACCAUAUUUGGCGGGCGGCCUCCGUGUGCCAAAAAUAGGCCACGGGCACAGCCGCGCCCAAAAAUCAGCCCCCGAAGGUUGGGGUCCCAAGACCCCCCAGCGGAAAAAUGGCCAAAAAACGGGUGGGCUAUAGCCUUGGUGGGGGGCGUGGGCGAACUUCGUCCGCGGGACUCGGAAUGGCCCCUGACUUGGCGGGCGGCCUCCGUGUGCCAAAAAUAGGCCACGGGCACAGCCGCGCCCAAAAAUCAGCCCCCGAAGGUCGAGGUCCCAAGACCCCCCAGCGGAAAAAUGGCCAAAAAACGGGUGGGCUAUAGCCUUGGUGGGCGGCGUGGGCGAAGUUCGUCCGCGGGACUCGGAAUGGCACCAUACUUGGCGGGCGGCCUCUGUGUGCCAAAAAUAGGCCACGGGCACAGCCGCGCCCAAAAAUCAGCCCCCGAAGGUCGGGGUCCCAAGACCCCCCAGCAGAAAAAUGGCCAAAAAACGGGUGGGCUAUAGCCUUGGUGGGGGGCGUGGGCGAACUUCGUCCGCGGGACUCGGAAUGGCCCCUGACUUGGCGGGCGGCCUCCGUGUGCCAAAAAUAGGCCACGGGCACAGCCGCGCCCAAAAAUCAGCCCCCGAAGGUCGGGGUCCCAAGACCCCCCAGCGGAAAAAUGGCCAAAAAACGGGUGGGCUAUAGCCUUGGUGGGGGGCGUGGGCGAACUUCGUCCGCGGGACUCGGAAUGGCCCCUGACUUGGUGGGCGUCCUCCGUGUGCCAAAAAUAGGCCACGGGCACAGCCGCGCCCAAAAAUCAGCCCCCGAAGGUCGGGGUCCCAAGACCCCCCAGCGGAAAAAUGGCCAAAAAACGGGUGAGCUAUAGCCUUGGUGGGCGGCGUGGGCGAAGUUCGUCCGCGGGACUCGGAAUGGCACCAUACUUGGCGGGCGGCCUCCGUGUGUCAACAAUAGGCCACGGGCACAGCCGCGCCCAAAAAUCAGCCCCCGAAGGUCGGGGUCCCAAGACCCCCCAGUGGAAAAAUGGCCAAAAAACGGGUGGGCUAUAGCCUUGGUGGGGGGCGUGGGNN
rnacentral:lncRNA from 1 species